rnacentral:rRNA from 1 species
AUUGAACGCUGGCGGCGUGCUUAACACAUGCAAGUCGAGCGGUAACAGGUGUAGCAAUACAUGCUGACGAGCGGCGAACGGGUGAGUAAUGCUUCGGAAUCUUCCUCGUAGUGGGGAAUAACCUGGGGAAACUCAGGCUAAUACCGCAUACGAACUACGGAUGAAAGCAGGGGAUCGCAAGACCUUGCGCUAUGAGAUGAGCCGAAGUCGGAUUAGCUAGUUGGUGAGGUAAAGGCUGACCAAGGCGACGAUCCGUAGCUGGUCUGAGAGGACGACCAGCCACACUGGGACUGAGACACGGCCCAGACUCCUACGGGAGGCAGCAGUGGGGAAUAUUGGACAAUGGGGGCAACCCUGAUCCAGCGACGCCGCGUGUGUGAAGAAGGCCUGCGGGUUGUAAAGCACUUUUAGUGGGGAUGAAAAGCCGAAGGCUAAUACCUUUCGGUCUUGACCUAACCCAAAGAAAAAGCACCGGCUAACUCUGUGCCAGCCGCCGCGGUAA